AUUGAACGCUGGCGGCAGGCCUAACACAUGCAAGUCGGGCGGUAACACAGGGAGCUUGCUCCUGGGUGACGAGCGGCGGACGGGUGAGUAAUGUCUGGGAAACUGCCUGAUGGAGGGGGAUAACUACUGGAAACGGUAGCUAAUACCGCAUAACGUCGCAAGACCAAAGAGGGGGACCUUCGGGCCUCUUGCCAUCAGAUGUGCCCAGAUGGGAUUAGCUAGCAGGUGGGGUAACGGCUCACCUAGGCGACGAUCCCUAGCUGGUCUGAGAGGAUGACCAGCCACACUGGAACUGAGACACGGUCCAGACUCCUACGGGAGGCAGCAGUGGGGAAUAUUGCACAAUGGGCGCAAGCCUGAUGCAGCCAUGCCGCGUGUAUGAAGAAGGCCUUCGGGUUGUAAAGUACUUUCAGCGGGGAGGAAGGUGUUGUGGUUAAUAACCACAGCAAUUGACGUUACCCGCAGAGGAAGCACCGGCUAACUCCGUGCCAGCCGCCGCGGUAACAC
rnacentral:rRNA from 1 species